ACGAACGCUGGCGGCGUGCUUAACACAUGCAAGUCGAACGCAAGGACGGGAAGCGCUUGCUCUUUUCAGAAUUGAGUGGCAAACGGGUGAGUAACACGUAAACAACCUGCCUUCAGGAUGGGGACAACAGACGGAAACGACUGCUAAUACCGAAUAAGUUCCAAGAGCCGCAUGGCCCAUGGAAGAAAAGGUGGCCUCUACCUGUAAGCUAUCGCCUGAAGAGGGGUUUGCGUCUGAUUAGCUGGUUGGAGGGGUAACGGCCCACCAAGGCGACGAUCAGUAGCCGGUCUGAGAGGAUGAACGGCCACACUGGAACUGAGACACGGUCCAGACUCCUACGGGAGGCAGCAGUGGGGAAUCUUCCGCAAUGGGCGAAAACCUGACGGAGCAACGCCGCGUGAGUGAUGACGGCCUUCGGGUUGUAAAACUCUGUGAUCCGGGACGAAAAGGCAGAGUGCGAAGAACAAACUGCAUUGACGGUACCGGAAAAGCAAGCCACGGCUAACUACGUGCCAGCAGCCGCGGUAAUACGUAGGUGGCAAGCGUUGUCCGGAAUUAUUGGGCGUAAAGCGCGCGCAGGCGGCUUCCCAAGUCCCUCUUAAAAGUGCGGGGCUUAACCCCGUGAUGGGAAGGAAACUGGGAAGCUGGAGUAUCGGAGAGGAAAGUGGAAUUCCUAGUGUAGCGGUGAAAUGCGUAGAGAUUAGGAAGAACACCGGUGGCGAAGGCGACUU
rnacentral:rRNA from 1 species